rnacentral:rRNA from 1 species
AUUGAACGCUGGCGGAAUGCUUUACACAUGCAAGUCGAACGGUAGAGGGGGCAACCCCUUGAGAGUGGCGAACGGGUGAGUAAUAUAUCGGAACGUGCCCAGUCGUGGGGAUAACGUAGCGAAAGUUACGCUAAUACCGCAUACGAUCUAAGGAUGAAAGCGGGGGAUCGCAAGACCUCGCGCGAUUGGAGCGGCCGAUAUCAGAUUAGGUAGUUGGUGGGGGUAAAGGCUCACCAAGCCAACGAUCUGUAGCUGGUCUGAGAGGACGACCAGCCACACUGGGACUGAGACACGGCCCAGACUCCUACGGGAGGCAGCAG